UUUUCCUGGAAUAACCAACUAUACCAGGAGAUAGCUAAAAAUAUGUGCAAUCGACUAGACGAUAUCCGGUUACUGGACAAUUUUGUGGCUCACUCAAAAUUAAAAAUAUUUGAGCCAAUAUCAUUCAGUAUGACAAGCAAACUUUUUGCACCCGGCCUUUUCCUGGAAUAACCAACUAUACCAGAAGAUAGCUAAAAGUAUGUGCAAUCGACUAGACGAUAUCCGGUUACUGGACAAUUUUUGUGGCUCACUCAAAAUUAAAAAUAUUUGAGCCAAUAUCAUUCAGUAUGACAAGCAAACUUUUUGCACCUGGCCUUUUCCUGGAAUAACCAACUAUACCAGGAGAUAGCUAAAAGUAUGUGCAAUCGACUAGACGAUAUCCGGUUACUGGACAAUUUUGUGGCUCACUCAAAAUUAAAAAUAUUUGAGCCAAUAUCAUUCAGUAUGACAAGCAAACUUUUUGGUAAGGAAGCUUUUUGGUAGAUGGGCUUUUUGGUAGAUUGAUUAUAAUUCUACUAAUAAAUUAAUUUCUCAGCACCCGGCCUUUUUCUGGAAUAACCAACUAUACCAGGAGAUAGCUAAAAGUAUGGGCAAUUGACUAAACAAUAUGUGGCUGAUAGUCAUUUUGUGUUUCUUAUGCAAAAUUAAAAACGCUUUUAAUCCACCUAACAGUGUGAUGAGACAUUUCUUAUAACUCUUAUCACUCUCUUCGGAUAUUAUAUCGUUUGAGAACAUUUAGAACUUGAUGCUUCGCGAUGUUUUUGAUAACACAUACUACAUGGGAAAGUGGCAGGACUCAGAGAAUCGCUCAAAUCAGCAUAGGACAACAUCAGUGCUAGAAAUCUCAAAUCAAAUCAAUGGGAAGCGAAAAAAUGGCCCAUAAAAUAGACAUAGAUACGAAUUAUUGUUAAUGCUCUGUUAAUAAAAUAUCUAAAUUGUGGUGGGAAAACUGAAUUUUCCUAAAGGGGUUAUAUAUUGUACUGAGCCAAAAAAAUCGCAUUUUUUUUUAAUCGAUUUGAAGUUCAUACUUUACCCUUUGGCGAUUGUUUACUUUUUCGGUCCCACCUAUCAGCAUUGAAGUAUCGUUCUUACGUUUUUUUUACAAUAACUACAGUUCUACACCACCGAUUUCGUCCGGGUUUUUUUCAAUAGCGAUCAUUGUUACUAUUUACAGCUGAUAUCAGCUUGAUAAUCCUAAAAAAAUACGAAAAUGACAGUUUCGCUUCUAAACUACUAGCAAAAAAAGUAUCGCCCUGUUUGUUUGCAUGGAGCGUGGAGGACGAAACUUUAAAUAAACAAACAAAAAUACAGUUUCGCCCGUUGUAUUUUUUGCUGUAGUUUAAGAAAGCAAUAUCGUAGAAUCAAAAUUUUUAGGUUAAUUGGUUGCGUUUCAAAGCCCUCAUUCGCAUGUAUGAAAAAAGCCUUAUGUUUACAUUUGUAAGUAUCGCCAUUUUCACAAAAAAGGGUUGAAAUGAAAUCGCAGCUCCGGAUAUCACGCUAUCUCUGAAGUGCAUGCGUGCAUAGUUCCAAAUUUUACUUCGACAUCGACUUUUUCUAAAGGUGACUUCCCAGUAGUAUCCUUGAUUUGAAUUAUUAUCGCUAAUCCUAAUGCCAAAGAACAAAUAAAAACCUCUCGAAAACGAAACGUUUGGGAAAAUCAUCAUCAUUACUGGAAUUUUCAUUUUCACGAAACUUUUCGAUAACCUUCCGUCACUUGCGUUAAUGCACUGUGUGCACAGUGCACUGAAAAUCUAGCGAAAUCGUCUUAGGGCACCAGCGGGUCUAAUUCAGAGCUAUCUGCGCGGCGAGUAAAGUAAAGAAUACUAAAAAUUAAUUUCUAUUCCAUAAUUUUCAGUUCAGCAAUUCGAGAGAUCGUGCUCACCGCAAGCCAUGAAAAAUAGACUACGUUGUGAAGCGAUGGUCACUAUUUAUUAAAAAAUCACGGUUAAAUAAAAAAAAACUAUACUAUUAAAAAAUUUCAAAUAGUUUAUAAUUUUCACAAAACUUAUUAAGAAAAAUUGUUUAAUAAUCUUUCGUAAUAUUGUGUAAGAAAAAAGCUGAAAAUUUCAGUAUUUUCUCUAUCUGCAACAUAUACCAAUUACCAAUUAAUUGGUAUACGAAUUGGAAUAGGUUCGCCAAAUUUUGGAAGAAGUCUAUAAAAAACCCCUUGAAAAUUACCUAAAAAUUGUUGUAGUUCGAUUCAAUAAAAAAUCCCCAAAAAUGAAAUGUACCUAUUAAUGUGAAACACAGUGAAUAAUACAUACAAUAAAGACCCAUUUUUAUCAGUCUCAUGGUGUAUUUUAGGCUGACAAAAUGGGGACAUUGACUAAAUCGGGCAAUUUUUUUUCUUUAUAAUAAACUGAAGCUGUUAAAAUAUUCUUCCCGUCCCUUGAUGUAGUCUGAUAACUAUUUCUGAUUAUGAUGAACAUUUUAUUUUUGCAUAUUUCCAUCUUCAUGAUAAGGAAAACAUGCUCAAGAAAGGAUUUACUCGAAUUCAGUCUUGUUCGUCUGCUAGAGCCCAUCAAACAUAUGUUCAUAUUUGGCUGAUAAAAUCAGGGUUUCAAUGUAUUAUAAUAGAUAUUCAGCAUUCGAAGAAGUUUCUUGUGAACGAGUGUAGAACGACUUUGUUUCUACUUACUUGAAGUCAGCGGCGUAGCCAGAAAUUCGGUUUGGUGGGGGUUUGGUGAAAAUCGAUCAUACUGUCCAAACGGCAUAAUUCCGAAACCGUAAUUUUUGAAGUUUUAAAAUUAUGCAGAAUUAAUUUUUCAGAAAAUGGUAAUAGAGUUCGUGUCUAGCGAAUUUGUUGAGACUUUAUUGUAGUCAUGAAUAUUAACCUGAGAAAAAUCACCAUAAAUACUUCUUGGACGAUAUACCGUCAAAAUUAUUUUAUCAAAUGAUGCGCUGUUUAACGUUUGUAAAAUUCAUCGAAGAUACUAAACCUCCGAAGUUGGUGGUUUCAAAAUGAUGCUAUCUUGACCUUAAAUUACUGUUUUUAAACAUUUGACCUAUACAUAUGAUUGGUCAUACAACAAAAAUCAAAUGCUCAUCAAAAUCGAUCAGAACCUGCUAGAAUCGAAUGGAAAUCGUUAUUUUUCAUAAAUUUCUCUCUACAUUCGGAAAGUGUUAUCCUCGUUAUUAAUCAUAUUACGUUUUCGUCUCAACUCGACGCAUUCCCAAAAAAAACCUGUCUUAAUCCACCUAGUGGUGCAAUUGUGCUUGUCUCAUUUGUCCAGACUACGAUUCUAUGGCUGGUUAUGUUCAAUACAAUGGUGGAAAUGAAUAUUACAUGUUCAGUACGAUUUGCACAUACAUACAAUGGAUCGACAGCCACGAUCUUGAGAUACUAUGUGAUACUGAAACGUCGCUUGAAACCAGGGGCGGAUCAUGGAGAAAGAUCCGGGAGCUCCAGAUCCUGCCAAAAAUUUUCAACUUGUUAAGAAAUUUUAAACUAGUUUUAAUUUUAAAGUAGCUACCCCUCACUGCAUACUCCCUCCGGGCCGGUAUGAUUGACGAUUUUUAGAGUGAUUGCAUAAUCUUUCUAUAUGAGAAAGACAAAAAUGUACCAAAGUCCAAAAAAAGUCAAAAUACAAAUUUGAUUUUGAAAAUUUUUCAUUUCAGUUUAUAUGGGAAUUUGCUGUGUGGUUGCACUCUUCAACUCGUAACUCCGGAACCGGAAGUCCAAUCAAUAAAAAAUUCAAUAGCAGCCGAUGCGAAGGUUGUACCUUUCAUUUGAGACUAACUUUGUGCAAAUCGGUCCAGCCAUCUCUGAGAAACAGAGGUCACAUUUUUUCCACAUACACACAUACAUACACACACAGACAUUUUCCGAUCUCGACGAACUCAGUCGAUUGGCAUAUGACACUCGGCCCUCCGAGUCGGGAUUAGAUUGACGAAUUUUAGAGUGAAUGAGAAAGGCAAAAACAUUUUUGGCAAAUGCUGAAAGUUAUGCAUUUUUUGGUGAGCAGUUCUAUGUUUCAUAGACAUUAAAUCAAUUUUAACUUCUCUUCCUAUUAAAUAAAGACCCUUAUUACAGUACAUCUCUACAAAAACGAGAUCAAUUUGAAAAUAAAUCUGAGGACUAUGAUUGAUUACAGAACUCUGUAAUUUUCUAUUGGAAUGUUUUCAGGCAGGAAUUUGAUAUUGAUGCUAUUAGACAACUGUGAAAUGAAGACCAAUAGAUCAGGUACAUAUCAGGACCCCAUUCCGACAAUUUAUCAAAAGUCCUCAUGAUGUUUACAACAACAGGUUAUCAAUCUACGGAUCAGAUAAUUGUUAUUGUAAUAUUGAAUUAAAUCA